CAUUAAGGUGAAACCGCGAAAGGCUCAUUAAAUCAGUUAUGGUUCCUUAGAUCGUACCCACAUUUACUUGGAUAACUGUGGUAAUUCUAGAGCUAAUACAUGCAAACAGAGUCCCGACCGGAGACGGAAGGGAUGCUUUUAUUAGAUCAAAACCAAUCGGCGGCGGGUGCGUUCGCGCGCGCCCGUUCGCCGCUCAACUUGGUGACUCUGAAUAACUUUCGGCUGAUCGCACGGUCUCGCACCGGCGACGCAUCUUUCAAAUGUCUGCCUUAUCAACUGUCGAUGGUAGGUUCUGCGCCUACCAUGGUCGUAACGGGUAACGGGGAAUCAGGGUUCGAUUCCGGAGAGGGAGCCUGAGAAACGGCUACCAC
rnacentral:rRNA from 1 species